AAACAGUAGAUAUUGCAAUAUCCUCCAAGGUGGUGUUUUUUUUUUUUUUUUUUUUUUUGAUUCUAAACCCACGAUAUUGUGGUCGGAGCCUGUGUCUACAAUGUUUUCUUUCAUACCAGUUCUAUCAAUCAUGCCUCCACCCAAUGUUGUUGUUGUUGUUAGGCACGGGCUGUUUUCCGCAACUCGACGUCUUUAUACGCCUAUUUUGCGUGACUGGCUGUGGACACUAUCCGUGCCAGCCUUGCCUUGACCCAAUAGCCCUAAUUAAAUUAACCAAGUAAGAUGUACCCGGGUGUACCCUGUCAAAAGGCAAAGCGUACAGGCCUGUACCCAAGGUAUUAUUACUUUGGUUUUAUUAUUGAUAACAAAAUGCUUAUUGCAAAAAAUAAAGUAAAUUAAUUACUUUUAAUUCUUUCAGAAGGAUUAAGUUGUAAACUUGAAGAUAUUGAUAAGUGCCCAGUAUAAUAAGAAGUGAGAUUUAAAACGUAGAAAUAAGAAUUUCCAUUUACAUCUGGUAUUAUUAAUGUACAAAAGAGAAAAAAAUUGCCGUUAUGUGGUAGAAAAGGUAAUGUUGCAAAUUUUGAUAUGUUACUUAUAAUCUGUGUACUAGUGUCACAGAUUAAAAAAAUUGCAAUAAAUAUCAAAGAUAGAUACGUAGUCCGGUCAGCAGAGUCGGACCGAUUAUUAUAGGUCAAAUAUUUCCUUGUUUUUGUUUUGCUUUUUGACCGAUAGAUGGCGUGCUUUAGAUGUUAAAAUAAAAUUAAUUAUUAAGCUACAUAGCUUGUUAUUGAAGUUUGUUGGAUUUUCUGACUUAUAUGAAUGUAUCUCUACUAUGAUUUUUUUAUUCCGUAUACUUUCGUCAAUUAUUACUAUUUAACUCAAAAACUGUAGUGUUACUUCAAUUUAAAAGGUCCCGCAAACAUUUCUCAUGUUAGAAUAGUUUUAUAAAAAAUUGUGGUCUUAAUAUUUUGUUUUACAACGCCAUCUAGCGGUAAUAAUUUGAGGCUCAAUGUUUUAAUUUGUUUAUUUUUCCACACAUAUACGGAUAGACACAUAAUUGGUUAAUUUAAUUUAUACAAUAUGUGUAAUAUAAAAAACAAAAGUUUUACGAGUAAUAUGCAUGUAAUCAUUACAUAGGGGACACGUUUCAGUUUACUAUAAUUACAAAUUUAUUUAUAUUUAAUAUAAAUCGCUAAAAAUGACGUAUUUACAAGAGAUAAAUAUAUUGUAUGAUUUAUUUA